rfam:Echinostoma caproni strain Egypt genome assembly, scaffold: ECPE_scaffold0000879
UCAUUGCUGACGAGUCCCAAACAGGACGAAACCGCUGUCUAGUGC